rnacentral:rRNA from 1 species
AUGGAGAAUCGGUCUUACUACGGCGGCAUCGGCAGCGGCAGCGGCAGCAAGAACCCGCCGCCGUCUGGGAAGGAGGCGGGGGAUGAGGAGUACGGGGGAGGGUACGACCGGCUGGACGAGGAGGUGGAGUUCCGGCUGCCGAGGGGGCACCGGCCGGUGGAGAACCUGGACACGGAGGGGCUGGAGCAGGCCUCCGUCGACACGCAGCUCGCCUCCUCCAACGUCGGCUUCAGGCUGCUGCAGAAGAUGGGAUGGAAGUCCGGCAAGGGCCUCGGCAAGAACGAGCAAGGUAUACUAGAGCCCAUAAAAGCCGGUAUCAGGGAUGCAAAAUUAGGAGUGGGGAAGCAAGAGCAGGAUGACUUCUUCACAGCUGAGGACAAUGUACAAAGAAAGAGAUUAAAUGUUGAACUUGAGGAGACUGAAGAGCAUAUUAAGAAGCGUGAGGUCACAGCAGAACGUGAGCAGAAAAUCCGCAGUGAGGUUAAGGAGAUACAGAAGACAUUCUUUUGCAGCCUCUGCAAUAAGCAAUACAAGCUGGCAUAUGAAUUUGAGAGUCAUCUAAGCUCAUAUGACCAUAAUCAUAGGAAGAGGUUCAAGGAAAUGAAAGAGAUGCAAAGCAGCAACAGUGGCAACCGUGAUGAUAGGCAGAAACGUGAGCAGCAGCGAGAAGAGAAGGAGCUGGCAAAAUUUGCCCAACUGGCAGAUGCUCAUAGAAAGCAGCAGAAAGAGAAGCAAGAACAGCCAGAUAUCUCAGGAGAGCAAGCUACGCCAAAGAACUUGCUGACCCCGGGCAAUCAGGAUCAGCGUCGAACAUUGAAGUUUGGCUUCUCCAAAAUGACCCCUUCCAAGGCACCUGUUGGCAACAUGAGCAAGAAGCCAAAGAUUGCCACGAAAGUCCCUUCCGUCUUCGGAAACGACAGCGAUGAGGAGGCAUGA